rnacentral:rRNA from 1 species
UACGUAGGGUGCAAGCGUUAAUCGGAAUUACUGGGCGUAAAGCGCGCGCAGGCGGUUAUGUAAGUCAGUUGUGAAAUCCCCGGGCUCAACCUGGGAACUGCAUCUGUGACUGCAUUGCUGGAGUACGGCAGAGGGGGAUGGAAUUCCGCGUGUAGCAGUGAAAUGCGUAGAUAUGCGGAGGAACACCGAUGGCGAAGGCAAUCCCCUGGGCCUGUACUGACGCUCAUGCACGAAAGCGUGGGGAGCAAACAGG